rnacentral:rRNA from 1 species
AUUAGAUACCCGGGUAGUCCCAGCCGUAAACGAUGCGCGUUAGGUGUAUCGGUGACCACGAGUCACCGAGGUGCCGAAGGGAAACCGUGAAACGUGCCGCCUGGGAAGUACGGUCGCAAGGCUGAAACUUAAAGGAAUUGGCGGGGGAGCACCACAACAGGUGGAGCCUGCGGUUUAAUUGGACUCAACGCCGGAAAUCUCACCGGAUAAGACAGCUGAAUGAUUGCCGGGCUGAAGACUCUGCAUGACUAGCUGAGAGGAGGUGCAUGGC